CCCCUUUAAUUUGGUAUUUGAUCACAGAAUAUAGUCAGAUGAGUUACUUUCACAACCCUAGAUGAGUUACUUUCACAACCCUGGAACAGCUGUAGAAUAUCUAUGAUAUGGUUCCUGUAUACUUUUUUCUCAAACGCUCAAAUAACCUAAUAUUUGCAAAAGCCCCAUAUACAAACCAUUUGAUUCAUGUGUCAGAAUUAAUACACGAUUGACAUUUUUUUGUGGGAUUUUAUGUUUUUACUUAUUUGUUUAAUGUGUUAAAAGAUCCUUGUAAAAAUCAGUGACCUCUGUGGACUUGAUCAAACUAUGGAGCAUACUGUGCUUCUAGUUUUUUUUAUACUGAUAACAUUGUCGUGAUUUGAGUACUCAUAUUAUAGGGUUUUGUUUUUUGUUCUUUUUUUCCCUUUCUUUUUCCUAUCAAUAUAAAUGAUCGUUAACUAUGGUUUUGGCAUAAGUGCAGAAACUUCAGAAGCAGUACAACUGUAUUCCAGAUGAACACUAUGAUCAGACACUGCUUGCAAUGCAUGGUCUUGAAGGUCAACUUGAACGUAGAACGUUGACCAAUAGCCUGUGGAUCCAGUCUACAACAAAGAUGGAGAAUAAAGGCUGGCAUCCUAUUACUUUCAGCUAUGUAAAUGCUAGCCCUCAAAGGAUAAAAGGAAAUGAAGAAUAGCAUACACCACACAAGGAUUUUGAAGGCCCUAGUAACAACAUAUUCCUAGGUAGCUGUGGCUGAAUCAGUUAAUUUGGAUGUAACAAUCUAAUAGGACCAUAUUUUAUUUGUGUUUAGCUAAUUACGUAUCUAUCACGUGUAGUACAGUUAUCAGUUACAUAAAGUGAUAAUUACAGUAUAAAGAGAAGCAUUUUUCUUUUUAUAUUUUCGGUAUUGGAGAAGCGUUA